UACGGGGGGGGCAAGUGUUGUUCGGAAUUACUGGGCGUAAAGGGCUCGUAGGCGGCCAACUAAGUCAGACGUGAAAUCCCUCGGCUUAACCGGGGAACUGCGUCUGAUACUGGAUGGCUUGAGGUUGGGAGAGGGAUGCGGAAUUCCAGGUGUAGCGGUGAAAUGCGUAGAUAUCUGGAGGAACACCGGUGGCGAAGGCGGCAUCCUGGACCAAUUCUGACGCUGAGGAGCGAAAGCCAGGGGAGCAAACGGG
rnacentral:rRNA from 1 species